UACCUCGUAUUUCCACCAGUUCUCGGCCUU
rnacentral:piRNA from 1 species